AUAGAUAAUAAACUUUAAUUCAUAGAUCAGUAUAAUAUUAUAUAGCUUUAUUUGUUAUUUCAUUAUUUGUCAAUAUUAUAAUAUUAGUGUAAUAUAUUUAAUAUUUACAUCAUUUAUUUUACGUAGCUCGUGGAAAACUCUAAUGUCUACGUAUGUCACAGCAAUUAAAUUAAUAAGCUUGUUUUGAUAAGUAUCUAAAGCAGAAGUUUGACUUUGGCAACUAAAUAGGCAUGUAUUAUUUGUUUUAUAUAAACUGGAUUUCAAUUUAUUUAAUAAAUACAAUUUAUUUCUAGUACUACUAAAAUAAAUUGGUUCAUGUGCCCUAAAUAUUCUUUCCACUUCCUCACAUAUAGUUUUCACACUUUUACUAGGAAUUAUCAACCCUCCUCGAUUCUUCAAAGUUAUUAAAAUAUUUUUAUUAUCAUUAUUACAUCCAGGUUUUAUCAAGAAGUUUGGCAAGAUUGGCAAUCAACUUUUUUCAACAACUUUUUCACUACAAAUCCAGCUAUAUAAUGACAUGUGUCUUCCAUAUAUUUAGUCAUAUUUAUGUACGUUUCAAAGUAAUCGUGAUCAUCUAGAUGUCUUUCUGGUAACCAAUGACUAUUUAGAUUGAACAUAACAUUUUUCUCAAUUUUACUUGUAUUUACUGAUAAAUUUUUUGUAUUUUCUAACAUUGAGCAAUUUCCAAAUACAGAACCCACAACUUCAUUGUGAA